AUUGAACGCUGGCGGCAGGCCUAACACAUGCAAGUCGAGCGGAUGAGAGGAGCUUGCUCCCCGAUUCAGCGGCGGACGGGUGAGUAAUGCCUAGGAAUCUGCCUAGUAGUGGGGGACAACGUUUCGAAAGGAACGCUAAUACCGCAUGCGUCCUACGGGAGAAAGUGGGGGAUCUUCGGACCUCACGCUAUUAGAUGAGCCUAGGUCGGAUUAGCUAGUUGGUAGGGUAAAGGCCUACCAAGGCGACGAUCAGUAACUGGUCUGAGAGGAUGAUCAGUCACACUGGAACUGAGACACGGUCCAGGCUGCUACGGGAGGCAGAAGUGGGGAAUAUUGGACAAUGGGCGAAAGCCUGAUCCAGCCAUGCCGCGUGUGUGAAGAAGGCCUUCGGGUCGUAAAGCACUUUAAGUUGGGAGGAAGAGCUCAUAGCGAAUACCUGUGAGUUUUGACGUUACCAACAGAAUAAGCACCGGCUAACUUCGUGCCAGCAGCCGCAGUAA
rnacentral:rRNA from 1 species